rnacentral:rRNA from 1 species
UACGUAGGGUGCAAGCGUUGUCCGGAAUUAUUGGGCGUAAAGAGCUCGUAGGCGGCUUGUCGCGUCGGCUGUGAAAACCUGGGGCUCAACCCCGGGCCUGCAGCCGAUACGGGCAAGCUAGAGUUCGGUAGGGGAGACUGGAAUUCCUGGUGUAGCGGUGAAAUGCGCAGAUAUCAGGAGGAACACCGGUGGCGAAGGCGGGUCUCUGGGCCGAAACUGACGCUGAGGUGCGAAAGCGUGGGGAGCAAACAGG